rnacentral:rRNA from 1 species
UACGGAGGAUGCGAGCGUUAUCUGGAUUUAUUGGGUUUAAAGGGAGCGCAGACGGGAGAUUAAGUCAGUUGUGAAAGUUUGCGGCUCAACCGUAAAAUUGCAGUUGAUACUGGUUUCCUUGAGUGCAGUUGAGGCAGGCGGAAUUCGUGGUGUAGCGGUGAAAUGCUUAGAUAUCACGAAGAACCCCGAUUGCGAAGGCAGCUUGCUAAACUGUAACUGACGUUCAUGCUCGAAAGUGUGGGUAUCAAACAGG